rnacentral:rRNA from 1 species
UGGGGAAUAUUGCACAAUGGGGGAAACCCUGAUGCAGCAACGCCGCGUGAGUGGUGACGGCCUUCGGGUUGUAAAGCUCUGUCUUCAGGGACGAUAAUGACGGUACCUGAGGAGGAAGCCACGGCUAACUACGUGCCAGCAGCCGCGGUAAUACGUAGGUGGCGAGCGUUGUCCGGAUUUACUGGGCGUAAAGGGAGCGUAGGCGGACUUUUAAGUGAGAUGUGAAAUACCCGGGCUCAACUUGGGUGCUGCAUUUCAAACUGGAAGUCUAGAGUGCAGGAGAGGAGAAUGGAAUUCCUAGUGUAGCGGUGAAAUGCGUAGAGAUUAGGAAGAACGCCAGUGGCGAAGGCGAUUCUCUGGACUGUAACUGACGCUGAGGCUCGAAAGCGUGGGGAGCAAA